UCCAGACUCCUACGGGAGGCAGCAGUGGGGAAUAUUGCACAAUGGGGGGAACCCUGAUGCAGCGACGCCGCGUGGGUGAAGGAGCACCUCGGUGCGUAAAGCCCUAUCGGCAGGGAAGAAAAGCGAACAGGUUCGCCUGGACGGUACCUGACUAAGAAGCCCCGGCUAACUACGUGCCAGCAGCCGCGGUAAUACGUAGGGGGCAAGCGUUAUCCGGAUUUACUGGGUGUAAAGGGAGCGUAGGUGGCAUGGUAAGCCAGAAGUGAAAACCCAGGGCUCAACUCUGUGGAUUGCUUUUGGAACUAUCAAGCUAGAGUGCUGGAGGGGUAAGCGGAAUUCCUAGUGUAGCGGUGAAAUGCGUAGAUAUUAGGAGGAACACCGGUGGCGAAGGCGGCUUACUGGACAGAAACUGACACUGAGGCUCGAAAGCGUGGGGAGCAAACAGGAUUAGAUACCCUUGUA
rnacentral:rRNA from 1 species